AAAGAAUUAGUUAAUUUAUAACAUAAAUAUGUCAAAUUUAAAUUAUUGUUUAAACAAUAUUCUUUU
rnacentral:tRNA from 1 species